GAUGAACGCUGGCGGCGUGCCUAAUACAUGCAAGUCGAGCGAACAGACGAGGAGCUUGCUCCUUUGACGUUAGCGGCGGACGGGUGAGUAACACGUAGGUAACCUACCUAUAAGACUGGGAUAACUUCGGGAAACCGGAGCUAAUACCGGAUAAUAUUACGAACCGCAUGGUUCGAUAGUGAAAGAUGGCUUUGCUAUCACUUAUAGAUGGACCUGCGCCGUAUUAGCUAGUUGGUAAGGUAACGGCUUACCAAGGCAACGAUACGUAGCCGACCUGAGAGGGUGAUCGGCCACACUGGAACUGAGACACGGUCCAGACUCCUACGGGAGGCAGCAGUAGGGAAUCUUCCGCAAAGGGCGAAAGCCUGACGGAGCAACGCCGCGUGAGUGAUGAAGGUCUUCGGAUCGUAAAACUCUGUUAUUAGGGAAGAACAAACGUGUAAGUAACUGUGCACGUCUUGACGGUACCUAAUCAGAAAGCCACGGCUAACUACGUG
rnacentral:rRNA from 1 species